AAGUCGUAACAAGGUUUCCGUAGGUGAACCUGCGGAAGGAUCAUUAGCGAAGCUCGGAAUGCGUGUUCGGUCUGAUGCUGCCCGGCAACGGGAUGUGCUCGGCCGGAUGCGUGUCCCUUCUCUAUUCCACCCCUUUGUGAACCAAGUGUGCGAGCCGAAGAGAGAUCGGAGGCUCGCAUGCAACCCUUAACAUACCCAAUGAAGUAUCAGAAUGUACCUUUGCGUUAACUCGCACAAAUACAA
rnacentral:misc_RNA from 1 species